AGAGUUCGAUCCUGGCUCAGGAUGAACGCUGGCGGCGCGCCUAACACAUGCAAGUCGAACGGUUAAAGCCCCUUCGGGGGUGCAUAGAGUGGCGAACGGCUGAGUAACACGUGGGCAACCUGCCCCCCGCACCGGGACAGCCUCGGGAAACCGUGGUUAAUACCGGAUACUCCGCCACCCCCGCAUGGGGGCGGCGGGAAAGCCCAGGCGGAGGGGGAUGGGCCCGCGGCCUGUUAGCUCGUUGGCGGGGUAACGGCCCACCAAGGCGAUGAUGGGUAGCCGGGUUGAGAGACCGACCGGCCAGAUUGGGACUGAGACACGGCCCAGACUCCUACGGGAGGCAGCAGUGGGGAAUCUUGCACAAUGGGCGAAAGCCUGAUGCAGCGACGCCGCGUGCGGGACGAAGGCCUUCGGGUCGUAAACCGCUUUCAGCAGGGACGAGGCCGCGAGGUGACGGUACCUGCAGAAGAAGCCCCGGCUAACUACGUGCCAGCAGCCGCGGUAAUACGUAGGGGGCGAGCGUUAUCCGGAUUCAUUGGGCGUAAAGCGCGCGCAGGCGGCCUGCUCGGUCGGGAGUCAAAUCCGGGGGCUCAACCCCCGUCCGCUCCCGAUACCGGCGGGCUUGAGUCUGGUAGGGGAAGGCGGAAUUCCCAGUGUAGCGGUGGAAUGCGCAGAUAUUGGGAAGAACACCGGUGGCGAAGGCGGCCUUCUGGGCCACGACUGACGCUGAGGCGCGAAAGCUAGGGGAGCGAACAGGAUUAGAUACCCUGGUAGUCCUAGCCGUAAACGAUGGACACUAGGUGUGGGGGGAGGAUCCCUCCGUGCCGCAGCCAACGCAUUAAGUGUCCCGCCUGGGGAGUACGGCCGCAAGGCUAAAACUCAAAGGAAUUGACGGGGGCCC
rnacentral:rRNA from 1 species